rnacentral:misc_RNA from 1 species
GAUGAAGAACGCAGCGAAAUGCGAUACGUAGUGUGAAUUGCAGAAUUCAGUGAAUCAUCGAAUCUUUGAACGCACCUUGCACCCUUUGGCAUUCUGAAGGGUAUGCUCGUUUGAGUGUCAUUGUACUCUCACACUCCCGAUCUUUGCAUUGGGAGCAGUGGACUUGGGUUUGCUGCUUCACCGUCGCUUACCUCAAAUAGGUUAGUGCAACUCUUGGUUGGACAUAGUACGGCGUGAUAAGUGUUCUUCGCCGGUGCCUCGCAAAGAGGGUGGCCGAUCGGGAUGUUGUGCUCCAAACCGUCUUCGGACAAUCUCUGACGACUUGACCUCAAAUCGAGUAAGACUACCCGCUGAACUUAAGCAUAUCAAUAAGCGGAGGA